rnacentral:rRNA from 1 species
GACGAACGCUGGCGGCGUGCUUAACACAUGCAAGUCGAACGAUGAACCCGGAGCUUGCUCUGGGGGAUUAGUGGCGAACGGGUGAGUAACACGUGAGUAACCUGCCCUGGACUCUGGGAUAAGCGUUGGAAACGACGUCUAAUACCGGAUAGGACCUUGGAUCGCAUGAUCUGGGGUGGAAAGUUUUUUCGGUCUGGGAUGGACUCGCGGCCUAUCAGCUUGUUGGUGAGGUAAUGGCUCACCAAGGCGUCGACGGGUAGCCGGCCUGAGAGGGUGACCGGCCACACUGGGACUGAGACACGGCCCAGACUCCUACGGGAGGCAGCAGUGGGGAAUAUUGCACAAUGGGCGAAAGCCUGAUGCAGCAACGCCGCGUGCGGGAUGACGGCCUUCGGGUUGUAAACCGCUUUUAGUAGGGAAGAAGGGCUUCGGCUUGACGGUACCUGCAGAAAAAGGACCGGCUAACUACG